rnacentral:rRNA from 1 species
UACGUAGGUGGCAAGCGUUGUCCGGAAUUAUUGGGCGUAAAGAGCGUGUAGGCGGCCAAGCAGGUCCGCUGUGAAAACUCGAGGCUCAACCUCGAGAUGUCGGUGGAAACCGUUUGGCUAGAGUCCGGAAGAGGAGAGUGGAAUUCCCGGUGUAGCGGUGAAAUGCGUAGAGAUCGGAAGGAACACCAGUGGCGAAGGCGGCUACCUGGACAGAUACUGACGCUGAGGCGCGAGAGCGUGGGGAGCAAACAGG